ACACAUGCAGUCGAACGGCAGCACGGGAGCAAUCCUGGUGGCGAGUGGCGAACGGGUGAGUAAUACAUCGGAACGUGCCCAAUCGUGGGGGAUAACGCAGCGAAAGCUGUGCUAAUACCGCAUAAGAUCUACGGAUGAAAGCAGGGGAUCGCAAGACCUUGCGCGAAUGGAGCGGCCGAUGGCAGAUUAGGUAGUUGGUGAGGUAAAGGCUCACCAAGCCUUCGAUCUGUAGCUGGUCUGAGAGGACGACCAGCCACACUGGGACUGAGACACGGCCCAGACUCCUACGGGAGGCAGCAGUGGGGAAUUUUGGACAAUGGGCGAAAGCCUGAUCCAGCCAUGCCGCGUGCAGGAUGAAGGCCUUCGGGUUGUAAACUGCUUUUGUACGGAACGAAAAGUCUCUUUCUAAUAAAGAGGGAUCAUGACGGUACCGUAAGAAUAAGCACCGGCUAACUACGUGCCAGCAGCCGCGGUAAUACGUAGGGUGCAAGCGUUAAUCGGAAUUACUGGGCGUAAAGCGUGCGCAGGCGGUUAUGUAAGACAGUUGUGAAAUCCCCGGGCUCAACCUGGGAACUGCAUCUGUGACUGCAUAGCUNGAGUACGGUAGAGGGGGAUGGAAUUCCGCGUGUAGCAGUGAAAUGCGUAGAUAUGCGGAGGAACACCGAUGGCGAA
rnacentral:rRNA from 1 species